rnacentral:rRNA from 1 species
AUUGAACGCUGGCGGCAUGCCUUACACAUGCAAGUCGAACGGCAGCGGACCUUCGGGUGCCGGCGAGUGGCGAACGGGUGAGUAAUAUAUCGGAACGUACCUUUCAGUGGGGGAUAACGUAGCGAAAGUUACGCUAAUACCGCAUAUUCUGUGAGCAGGAAAGCAGGGGAUCGCAAGACCUUGCGCUGAUUGAGCGGCCGAUAUCAGAUUAGCUAGUUGGUGAGGUAAAGGCUCACCAAGGCGACGAUCUGUAGCGGGUCUGAGAGGAUGAUCCGCCACACUGGGAACUGAGACACGGUCCAGACUCCUACGGGAGGCAGCAGUGGGGGAAUUUUGU